GAUGAACCGCCUUCGUGCUAGGGAUUGGGGCUUGUAAUUAUUCCCCAUGAACGAGGAAUUCCCAGUAAGCGCAAGUCACUAGCUUGCGUUGAUUACGUCCCUGCCCUUUGUACACACCGCCCGUCGCUACUACCGAUUGAGUGGUUUAGUGAGGCCCUCGGACUGGUCUCGGCACGGCGUUCGCGUCGAGCCGGUGCGCCGGAAAGACGGUCAAACUUGCUCACUUAGAGGAAGUAAAAGUCGUAACAAGGUUUCCGUAGGUGAACCUGCGGAAGGAUCAU
rnacentral:rRNA from 1 species